GGCCCGUUCGUCCAGCGGACAGGACGCCUGGUUCUCAACCAGAAAACGGGGGUUCGAUUCCCCCACGGGUCAC
rnacentral:tRNA from 1 species